UAGGGAAUCUUCCACAAUGGACGCAAGUCUGAUGGAGCAACGCCGCGUGAGUGAAGAAGGUUUUCGGACCGUAAAGCUCUGUUGUUGGUGAAGAAGGAUAGAGGUAGUAACUGGCCUUUAUUUGACGGUAAUCAACCAGAAAGUCACGGCUAACUACGUGCCAGCAGCCGCGGUAAUACGUAGGUGGCAAGCGUUGUCCGGAUUUAUUGGGCGUAAAGCGAGCGCAGGCGGAAGAAUAAGUCUGAUGUGAAAGCCCUCGGCUUAACCGAGGAAUUGCAUCGGAAACUGUUUUCUUGAGUGCAGAAGAGGAGAGUAGAACUCCAUGUGUAGCGGUGGAAUGCGUAGAUAUAUGGAAGAAUACCAGUGGCGAAGGCGGCUCUCUGGUCUGCAACUGACGCUGAGGCUCGAAAGCAUGGGUAGCGAACAGGAUUAGAUACCCUGGUAGUCCAUGCCGUAAACGAUGAGUGCUAAGUGUUGGGAGGCUUCCGCCUCUCAGUGCUGCAGCUAACGCAUUAAGCACUCCGCCUGGGGGAGUACGACCGCAAGGUUGAAACUUAAAGUGAAUUGAC
rnacentral:rRNA from 1 species